UAUUAUAACAUAAUGGUACCUAUACAAAUAUGAAGUUAUGAAAAUUCUGGAUGAGUAUAUUAAUCCCCCAACACUAUUUCUCUCCUGCACCUUCUGUAUAGAUUGAUGUGACGUGUACCUCACUGAUAAUGCAUUACUGUCAUUGUCUUCUCCAGCAGAACGAAGACGAGACUCAGCCAGGGCACUGCAUCUCACAGACUCUUUGGUCCAGCCUGCCAGAUGAUGGUUUUUAUACAUUGCCCAGUGUAGGGAGGAAGAGGAAGCCCAGUUGGGAAUCCAUACUGCAAGACAUCAGUUGAAGGAUGAACAGAAUUAAAGUAUUUACCAUGGUCAUCAUCCUGCCCGUCUUUGAGCGCGACUUGGCCGUGAGUGACGCCUGCAGGCGACCAGUGGGUUAACCACACUCUACUAACAAGAUUGAUGCAGGAGAGUGAAGGACUGCUGACUGCCUUGAUGCAAGAAAGCUUAGGCCACCACUUCACUCCUGCCUUGACAGCAGAUUUGUGCUCCAGUUCACCAGUCCCUUCAACCCAGGGGAGCCGGGAGGGACCAGCAGGUGACCAGUGCAGGAGCACAAUGGGCUGGCAGGAGUUGAAGCCGUGCUGAAGGAGAGAUGCAGUGGAUGAUGAACCCUGGUGCUGGUCUCGGCAGAAAUGGGUCUUCUAUUGUCACAGAUGUAGUGAAGAAUGAACCAGGUGACAGUCAACUGUCCUCAAGUGAGUGAAGUCAUUGGGCCAGGAUAGUUGAAGAGGACCCAGCUCUGUUCAGCUCUGUCAACCCUGUGUCUUCAAGUACAAGUGGAGUGACUGAAGUGAAAUGGGUGGCCUUUAUCAUCACACAGUUGGUGAACGUUGCAGGACCUGAGUCACACAUCAGCCCAGCACUGCAUGGGAAAUGGUCUAG